CAAUGGCGUAUAUUAAAGACAUUGCGGUUAAAAAGCUCGCACUUGGAACUGCCGAGGACGACCGCUCGGCCCUCUGGUGAUGAUCAUGUUGUCCAUCUUCUUGGAGAACGUAUCUGCACUUGACUGUGUGGUGCGGUAUCUAGGACUUUUACUUUGAGGUAAUUAGAGUGUUUCAAGCAGGCACACGCCUUGAAUACAUUAGCAUGGAAUAAUAAGAUAGGACCUUGGUUCUAUUUUGUUGGUUUCUAGAGCUGAGGUAAUGAUUAACAAGGAUAGUUGGGGCAUUCAUACUUAAAUGUCAGAGGUGAAGUUCUUGGAUUUGUUGAAGACGGACUACUGCGAAAGCAUUUGCCAAGGAUGUUUCAUUGAGCAAGAACGAAAGUUAGGGGAGUCGAAGAC
rnacentral:rRNA from 1 species